rnacentral:misc_RNA from 1 species
GUGAAUCAUCGAAUCUUUGAACGCAAAUUGCACUCUUGGGCUCGCCCUGAGAGUAUGCCUCUUUCAGUAUCGGUUCUAACUAUCUCUCGCCUCCUCGCGCGCGCGCAAGCGUUUGCCGCCCGGUGGGUGGGGACAUUGAGCUGUCUUGGCUGUUCAGUCGGCCCAGUCGCUUUAAUACCAAUGAGUCCUUUGUGGGGAUGUCCCUACACUCAACUGGAGAUACUAUGACUUCGGUCAUUUUUCUUCCGGCUUGCAGUGGCCAGGGUCGCAUCUUUUUCCACACCAAAAAGGGUACUCGGU